rnacentral:rRNA from 1 species
AUGUCCAGCAGUACCACUUAUGCUACCGGCACCGGCACUGCGCCGCCCGGAUUGCAGUACCCCAUGCUCGGCAGUGCACUAUCGCAUGACAGCCAGUACAGCGACAGCUUCAAACCUGCGAGCCUUGGUCUCUGCUUCCCUACCAGACUGCUCUUUGCUGACAGCGAUGCUUAUGUAGUGGACGGUUAUGCGCAGCACCACCGCCACCAUGCCCGUGGGAACUGGAUGGAGCAGUGGGCGGCGGCGCAAAUGGACAGCUUCCAGUUCAUGCACGUCAUGGAUCAUCAGAUGUCUGGACAGCCAGUCGAGGCAAUGCCCAUCACAAUGGUUACUACCAUGCAGGGCAUGUUCCACCUAGGGUAG